CUUAGCAAUAUAUACUAUAAGCUUUUGAUACAUAUCCAGCAAUGAUCCAAUACAUAUCUAUAGAUAAAUCGAUAUAUUACAUAUAUAUAGUUAGUUAAUCUAUACCCAGUAAAAUAUUUAUCCAACAUCCGAAUAUAUACAUUUAGAUAAAUUAAUAUAUAAUUUAUAAAAUAUGAUUAUCACUACAUGGCCAAAAAUGAUAUAUUAUAGAUGACUUACUAGUAUAUAUUAUAAGCUUCUUUAAUAUAUACAAGUUCGUAGAUAUGUAUUAGUCUAUUUAUUAUUAGAAAAAAGAUUGAUGCUUUUAUGUUCGUAGAAGAAGAAAAGGGCCCAGAGACAAGGAAGACUUAGGGAAGAAGAAAGGAUACGAAUGGUCUCUAUUCAUAGACAUUCUUUCUUGAUGUAUGAAUUUUUUUGUUAUUAUUAUUUUUUAACUCAUAUGGGAUUAACAAACUCUAUUAGGAGGAGUUCUUUCCUUAGUUGGCUUUUGGGUUUCCUCUUUGAGACAAAAGAAAGAUAAAAUAUGGUAUAAAAUAGCCCCCUUCCAUAUGAUCCUUUAUGGUGCCCGCCCCAUACGAUUUUUGUUCGAGCAGGAGUGGAAAAUAGAACUAGCUUACUGGC
rnacentral:lncRNA from 1 species